UCCCCUGUAAUACAUACAAAUGUUUUCCAUUAAAAUUUGGUAAAGGAUGGUUAUGGUUGAAAGAGAUAGUUUUAAAUGCCCUAGGGUAUGGAAUUAAAUGAUAUAUUAUUUAAAGAUAAAUUUUAUAAAAGAGGGUGAUGAGAGAAUCAAUAAAUUAAAGUUCAAUUGAUAUUAUAUAAGAGUAUUAAAGGACAAUCAAUUUUUUCUGAAGGGUGUAGAGUAAACUACCCUCAACCUGGUGCUUUCUUUGUUUUAAUUGUCACCCUAAAUGUAAAAAUAAUUAGUCACAGAAAGUAGGAUGAAUGCAUAUAAUGGAAGCCGUUAAUGUCGUCAUUAUGAAUUAUGAUUUAUCGUAUCAUUGUAUGAAGAAUAUAAUACGAUAGUGGAGAAAGAGAAAUUAAAUUACCUGAGGCAUCGAUGGAUCUGAACGUCCAAAGCGAAGACGUAGUGAAGGAGAUCGUUGAGAUUUUCGAAUCAUCAGAUGUUCCAAAGGUGUAUCCAAUGCCAGGGGUGAUCUAAUGUUAUUGUCAUAUGAAUUACGACGUAAUAAAAGGCUAUAUAUUUCUCGUAAAUUUUCGAGGUUCCUGCCUACAUUUUCCUCUGAAAAAAUCAAUAAAAAUUUAUCAAGAUUAUAAAGAGAUUGAAUUUUAAUGCACAGUGAAAGUGAAGGCUUUGAGUAUCUUUUUUAUUCAAUUUUGGGAGAUUUAACCGACUUGUUAGAUUGUGAAGCUGAUCAACUUUAAAAACUGUCAGUAGAUGACAAGUUUACACCCGAUUUAACAAAUAUGAACAUCAGAUUAUCAAUAAUUCAAUAGAAAUAUUCGUCGAAUUAAAUAAAAAGUUAUCUACUAGGAAGAAUUUAUAUGAAAUUGCAUUUAUUGGUAUCAUUGAUGAUACUUUAGCUAAGAUACUGUUUGACAAGGGUAUAUGAAUAAAAGCACAUGUUUAUGAUAUCGAAAGAUCGUUGUCUAGUAUGUUUUAGAUGUACUGAAUCAAUUAAACGUGAAUUUAAUUUAUAAAAUAUAAACAAAAUAUUUUUAGUAUCAGUUUUUGCAAUUUUUUGAUUGCUAUUAUGGAGGUGUGCUUUUAGAGUUUAGAGAAUGGUUUAACAUUGAAAAAUCUGCAAACAAUUAAUUAAAACUGGGAACUUUUUUAAUUUGUAAAAA